AUUGCCCUAGUAACGGCGACUGAAGCGGCAACAGCUCAAAUUUGAAAUCUGGCCUUCGGGUCCGAGUUGUAAUUUGUAGAGGAUGCUUUUGGUGAGGUGCCUUCCGAGUUCCCUGGAACGGGACGCCAUAGAGGGUGAGAGCCCCGUCUGGUUGGACACCGAUCCUCUGUAAAGCUCCUUCAACGAGUCGAGUAGUUUGGGAAUGCUGCUCUAAAUGGGAGGUAUAUGUCUUCUAAAGCUAAAUAUUGGCCAGAGACCGAUAGCGCACAAGUAGAGUGAUCGAAAGAUGAAAAGCACUUUGAAAAGAGAGUUAAAAAGUACGUGAAAUUGUUGAAAGGGAAGCGCUCAUGACCAGACUUGGGCUUGGUUGAUCAUCCAGGGUUCUCCCUGGUGCACUCUUCCAGUUCAGGCCAGCAUCAGUUCGCUGCGGGGGAUAAAGGCUUUGGGAAUGUGGCUCCCUCGGGAGUGUUAUAGCCCAUUGUGUAAUACCCUGUGGUGGACUGAGGACCGCGCUUCGGCAAGGAUGCUGGCGUAAUGGUCAUCAGUGACCCGUCUUGAAACACGGACCAAGGAGUCGUCUUCGUAUGCGAGUGUUCGGGUGUUAAACCCCUACGCGUAAUGAAAGUGAACGCAGGUGAGAGCUUCGGCGCAUCAUCGACCGAUCCUGAUGUUCUCGGAUGGAUUUGAGUAAGAGCAUACGGGGCCGGACCCGAAAGAAGGUGAACUAUGCCUGUAUAGGGUGAAGCCAGAGGAAACUCUGGUGGAGGCUCGCAGCGGUUCUGACGUGCAAAUCGAUCGUCAAAUAUGGGCAUGGGGGCGAAAGACUAAU
rnacentral:rRNA from 1 species